rnacentral:rRNA from 1 species
UACGAAGGGGGCUAGCGUUGUUCGGAAUCACUGGGCGUAAAGGGCGCGUAGGCGGCUUUGUAAGUCGGGGGUGAAAGCCUGUGGCUCAACCACAGAAUUGCCCUUCGAUACUGCAUGGCUUGAGACCGGAAGAGGUUAGUGGAACUGCGAGUGUAGAGGUGAAAUUCGUAGAUAUUCGCAAGAACACCAGUGGCGAAGGCGGCUGACUGGCCCGGUUCUGACGCUGAGGCGCGGAAAGCGUGGGGAGCAAAC